rnacentral:tRNA from 1 species
CGGGGCGUGGCGCAGUCUGGCAGCGCACUUGCUUUGGGAGCAAGGUGUCGCAGGUUCAAAUCCUGCCGCCCCGACCA